GACGAACGCUGGCGGCGUGCUUAACACAUGCAAGUCGAACGGAAAGGCCCCUUUGGGGGUACUCGAGUGGCGAACGGGUGAGUAACAAGUGAGUAACCUGCCCUUGACUUCGGGAUAACUUCAGGAAACUGGGGCUAAUACCGGAUAGGAAUCCUUGCUGCAUGGUGGGGGUUGGAAAGCUUCGGCGGUUUUGGAUGGACUCGCGGCUUAUCAGCUUGUUGGUGGGGUAGUGGCUUACCAAGGCUUUGACGGGUAGCCGGCCUGAGAGGGCGACCGGCCACAUUGGGACUGAGAUACGGCCCAGACUCCUACGGGAGGCAGCAGUGGGGAAUAUUGCACAAUGGGCGGAAGCCUGAUGCAGCAACGCCGCGUGCGGGAUGACGGCCUUCGGGUUGGAAACCGCUUUCAGCAGGGGCGAAGCUUGUGGUGACGGUACCUGCAGAAGAAGCACCGGCUAACUACAUG
rnacentral:rRNA from 1 species